GCCCGCUUGGCUUCUGAGAGGAGCACCUGGCGUCGGAGCGUGGCCGCAGCCUUUGGCCUCAGCUUUCUUUGUUGUCCGAGGCUCUGAGAAGUACCCAGGACAGUCUCCUGGAAGCAGGAGCUGGAGGGACUCCGAGGUUUUGUAGCUACAGAGAUUUGGGGGUUGCCAAUCAAAUUCUUCGCACUCCGCCAUGUCCGCCGCAGCCAUCUUCUUCAGGAGAGCGGACCAGGGACUAUGGAUCUCACUAAGUCGCCCAGACCGGCUUCGAGCUUGUGCGCCUACUGCCUCAGCCUCUCCAGUAGGGUGUACCCCAUCACAUCCGCCUCAGGACUGCAGAAUUUUGGCACUGUGACUCCUUCUCUUUCAUGAACCGUCUUUUCUCCUUCACCAUCCAGUGUUAUGAUAAAGUCACAAGGAAUGAAAGAAAAAGGAUGAAUAAAACUUCAUCAAAGUAAAAAACUCCUGUGCUUCAGAAGACACCAAGAAGACGAAAGAUAAUCUAGAAAAUGGAGAAAAUAUUUACAAACCACUAUCAACAACUCUGCUGUAGAAGACAGUUACACAUAUUUAUUUUUCUGGCUAUAAAAGGUAUAUGAAUACA